rnacentral:lncRNA from 1 species
UACUCUCCAAAACUCUCCCCUUAAUUAAUCCUUAACUCUAUGUAUUUAUAGUAAUCCCUAAACCUACCCUCUUUUGAAAAACUCACUUACCCCACCAACCACCCCAAGAAAAUCUGCCUAUUUUCAACUAAAUCCCACUAAGGAAGGCUUUUCCUUAUUUUCUUCCCUAAAUUACGGCAUGAUAUAAGGGCUUAUUCUCCAGUAGAAUUAAGUUAGUGAAUAAGUUCUUGUCUUAUUAUUGCUUGAGUAACAGACCAUUAAUUUAGUCAAAUCUGACCAUUUUUCCUUUCCAAAAUACCCCUGUAAUGACAAACCAUUUAAACUGUCCAAAUUACCCUGUAAACACCCUGGUAAUUACUGUAAUUAACCUAAGGUUGAAGGUCUGAAACCACUACUAUUUAAUAUGGCAUUCAAUAGGCAUAACAUAAGGGUUUAUUCCCCACUAGUAUUAAAUUAAUGAAUAAGUUCUUGUCUUAUUAUUUCUUAAUUAACAGACCAUUAAUUUAGUCAAAUCUGACCAUUUUCCCUUCCCAAAAUACCCUCUCAAAUCUCUGAAAUCACUGCCUUACCCAACCUCUUUCAAAUUAUAUUGAAUCCGUCAACUAUAACCAAUUCAAUCUUAACUGAAUUCUCAUAAACUACCAAACUACAAUAGCUCUAAUCAAUUCACAAGUGGAUUCAAACAAACCCUCAGUAAAAAUUAAACAGUGUCAGUCAAAUUAUCACCAUUCAAAACUGUAGGACUAAUCGACGACACAUAUCGAAUCGACUACGUGAAUUGCAACACAUACAAUCAAAUAGCAAAUAAUCAAGCUCGAACAGGCACAUAGGUGAUUUCAUAGAAACAUGGAUUUAUGAUGAAACCUAACUAAUCGACGAAGCUUAUUCGAAUCGAUUAUGUAGUUUACUAUGUACUCGACCAUGACCAGAAAAAGUUCGACCAAAUAAAAGGUCUUUGGAGAUGAGAAGACUUAAUUGAAAGAAAAACUGAAAAACCAAAUAAAUUAAACUAAUACAUAUAUACAAUACAUGCUACUAAAACCAAAGAACAAAAGAAAUGAAAAGUUACCUCAGGAACUCGAAAUCAGAAUGACCCAUACCCAAACUCGGACUGACAGCUUUGAGGUCGAAAAGACCUUAGUCGAAGUGUUCUCACAUGAUAACACCUCGAUUAAGGUCGAUUAAACCCCAAAUCCUUAACUUAUUCAGGCAUAUUCCAGGUUUUAAGUUUUCUAGGGUUCUUGAGAGUGAUUUGGGGUUCAUGAUUUUCUGGGCAGAUUCGAACCAAACCAACGAUGGUUUGGUGACAAUGGAGGUUAGGGAAGUGUCCGGUACGAGUUUGGGGCUGGUUGGGGUAGUUUCACAUUUUGCUCGAAUCUUCGAUUGAAGAUCCGAGAAGCUGCGGGAUGAUUCGAGCAAAACGGGCAAGGGAUUUGUGUUCAGGGUGCCAAGGGGUUUAAGGGGUGUUAAUUUGGUCGUCGGUGGCGUCGUUGUUGCCGGGUUUACGACGAGAGUGAGGGGUGGCGGUAGGGUUUGAAAUGGGGAUGUAUGGUUUGUCUCUGAGAGAGACGACGGAAGGGGGGUG